rnacentral:lncRNA from 1 species
UUGACAGAUAACCCAAGCCAAACACUCGUGCACACAGUGUCGCAUUUAUUGCGACUGAUGGCUCACUUGGCAGCUGUACGAUUGAGAGGAGGAGGGAAUGGCUAAGUGACUGAGUGACUGACUGAAUGACUGUGUGAGUGUGGAUCAUCAGUUUCAAUUUGGUUCCUGCGACAAUCAAGCAUUUCCUUUUUGCACUUGGAGAAAUGCACUUUUCGAAUU